GUUCCUGUAGCGUAGUGGUUAUCACGUUUGCUUUACACACAAUAGGUCUCUGGUUCAAAACCAGAGAGAAAUG
rnacentral:tRNA from 1 species